AUGCAGCGAUGAGGACACUUCCUUAGUAACUCUUUCUACCUCUCCCACGCCUCAUAUAAGGGUUCUCCAUCUUGUUGAACAAAUGAAGUAAUCUCCCCUAUGAUUUU